rnacentral:misc_RNA from 1 species
UAUUUUUAUAAUUUUUAAAGUGCUGAAAAUAAUUAUUUGCACUAUAGAAGAGUUAGGGAUCCGAAUUGAAAUUUAGACUAUUGGACAUAGAUUAAGUUUUUUGUAGGGCCCGAUGGGCAUUAUAAUUAUUGUUAUGGGCCUGAGACCCUGUGUUGUUGCCUCUGAUUGAGUUUUCUUACAGGGGAUUAAGUCUAGUUAUAGGGAAGACUUUGUCAAAAAAUUUCAACAAGACCUCAGGAACUAUUCUUGCUUCUUUAAAUUAAAUUAAUUGAUUAAUUAUG